UGGGGAAUAUUGCACAAUGGACGGAAGUCUGAUGCAGCGACGCCGCGUGGGGGAUGAAGGCUUUCGGGUUGUAAACUCCUUUCAGUACAGAAGAAGCUUUAUUGUGACGGUAUGUGCAGAAGAAGCGCCGGCUAACUACGUGCCAGCAGCCGCGGUAAUACGUAGGGCGCGAGCGUUGUCCGGAAGUAUUGGGCGUAAAGAGCGCGUAGGCGGUUUGGCGCGUCUGCUGUGAAAGACCGGGGCUUAACUCCGGGGCUGCAGUGGGUACGGGCAGGAUGGAGUGCGGUAGGGGUAACCGGAAUUCCUGGUGUAGCGGUGGAAUGCGCAGAUAUCAGGAGGAACACCGAUGGCGAAGGCAGGUUACUGGGCCGUUACUGACGCUGAGGAGCGAAAGCAUGGGGAGCGAACAGG
rnacentral:rRNA from 1 species